GCUCUUUCAGCACGAGAAGCAUGAGUUACACAUUUUUCUACCACGUUGCUGGCAAAUUUGUGCUGACUCAGAGCUAGAACUUUUCCUCUUAUUUCUGAAACUAUUUUACUCUUGUCUUCAGGACGACCAUGCUCCAGCACGUGUUGAAUAACGUAAUUUCCAUAUUGAUCCUGCACUAGUUGUUCUGUGUGCUGAUGUAGUUCUUCUAAGAUUGGCAAAGUCUGCUCAGCAGUGCAGUGUUCCAGA
rnacentral:lncRNA from 1 species